rnacentral:lncRNA from 1 species
UCCAACUCCCAGAUCUUCCAUGGUCUCUGGGCGGCUACGUGGACUAGAAUCCAGCCACUUGUACUCUCUCCAGAAACAAGUAAUGCUUUCACCCCGCUUAGAAAUCAUCCCUGGGAUGCUCCUACCGUUACGGCGUCGCCUUACGAAAUCCCCACGCCAAGGCAGAUGUCAUUCCACGGUAGAUACCGGCCCCCCUUGUCCAUCCGUUACAUAAGUCGGCGUCGGCGUA